GCUAUACAUGCAGUCGAGCGGACUUGAGAGAAGCUUGCUUCUCUGAUGGUUAGCGGCGGACGGGUGAGUAACACGUAGGCAACCUGCCCUCAAGUUUGGGACAACUACCGGAAACGGUAGCUAAUACCGAAUAAUUGUUUUCUUCGCCUGAAGGAAACUGGAAAGACGGAGCAAUCUGUCACUUGGGGAUGGGCCUGCGGCGCAUUAGCUAGUUGGUGAGGUAACGGCUCACCAAGGCGACGAUGCGUAGCCGACCUGAGAGGGUGAUCGGCCACACUGGGACUGAGACACGGCCCAGACUCCUACGGGAGGCAGCAGUAGGGAAUCUUCCGCAAUGGGCGAAAGCCUGACGGAGCAAUGCCGCGUGAGUGAUGAAGGUUUUCGGAUCGUAAAGCUCUGUUGCCAGGGAAGAACGCUUGGGAGAGUAACUGCUCUCAAGGUGACGGUACCUGAGAAGAAAGCCCCGGCUAACUACGUGCCAGCAGCCGCGGUAAUACGUAGGGGCAAGCGUUGUCCGGAAUUAUUG
rnacentral:rRNA from 1 species